rnacentral:tRNA from 1 species
GGGGGCAUCGUUCAAUGGCAGGAUUACGGUCUCCAAAACCGUUGAUCUAGGUUCGAAUCCUAGUGCCCCCG